UUCUUAUCAAGAGAGACGGAGGGAUUUGGCCCUACGAUGUCUCAGCAACCGCCCACGGGCAAGGUGCUAAUUCCAAUAGGCGAGAGCCUAGAAGAUGAGAA
rfam:Planomicrobium sp. ES2 genome assembly, contig: CONTIG000001